rnacentral:rRNA from 1 species
GUCGGCGACCAUACCAAGUUGAAAGCACUGGUUCUCGUCCGAUCACCGAAGUUAAGCAACGUUGGCCCCGGUUAGUACUUGCAUGGUUGACCGGCUGGGAACACCGGGUGUUGCCGGCU